rnacentral:rRNA from 1 species
GCUUAGCCCUUAACAAAGAUAGUGCCCAUACAACACCAUCCGCCAGAGAAUUACAAACGAAAAGCUAAAAACUCCAAGGACUUGGCGGUGCUUCAAAUCAAUCUAGAGGAGCCUGUCCUAUAAUCGAUACUCCACGUUUUACCUUUCCCCCCCUAGCAACCAGCCUAUAUACCGCCGUCGCCAGCCUACCUUAUGAGAGAAAUAAAGUAAGCAAAACAGUCACCAACUAACACGUCAGGUCAAGGUGUAGCAAAUGGGGCGGCAGAGAUGGGCUACAUUUUUAAACAAACACACGAAUAGCACACUGAAAUACUGCUCGAAGGCGGAUUUAGUAGUCAGACAACUAAGAAAAGUUGCCUAAAACCUGCUCUGAAGCGCGCACACACCGCC